rnacentral:rRNA from 1 species
CAGUCGACGAACACUUUGAUCGAUUUCUUCGGAUUGAAAUUUUAGUGACUGAGUGGCGGACGGGUGAGUAACGCGUGGGCAACCUGCCUCACACAGGGGGAUAACAGUUGGAAACGGCUGCUAAUACCGCAUAAGCGCACGGUACCGCAUGGUACAGUGUGAAAAACUCCGGUGGUGUGAGAUGGACCCGCGUCUGAUUAGCUAGUUGGCAGGGCAACGGCCUACCAAGGCGACGAUCAGUAGCCGACCUGAGGGGGUGACCGGCCACAUUGGGACUGAGACACGGCCCAAACUCCUACGGGAGGCAGCAGUGGGGAAUAUUGCACAAUGGGGGAAACCCUGAUGCAACGACGCCGCGUGAGCGAAGAAGUAUUUCGGUAUGUAAAGCUCUAUCAGCAGGGAAGAAGAAAUGACGGUACCUGACUAAGAAGCACCGGCUACAUACGUGCCAGCAGCCGCGGUAAUACGUAUGGUGCAAGCGUUAUCCGGAUUUACUGGGUGUAAAGGGAGCGCAGGCGGAAGGCUAAGUCUGAUGUGAAAGCCCGGGGCUCAACCCCGGUACUGCAUUGGAAACUGGUCAUCUAGAGUGUCGGAGGGGUAAGUGGAAUUCCUAGUGUAGCGGUGAAAUGCGUAGAUAUUAGGAGGAACACCAGUGGCGAAGGCGGCUUGCUGGACGAUGACUGACGUUGAGGCUCGAAAGCGUGGGGAGCAAACAGGAUUAGAUACCCUGGUAGUCCACGCCGUANACGAUGACUNCUAGGUGUCGGGGAGCAAAGCUCUUCGGUGCCGCAGCCAACGCAAUAAGUAGUCCACCUGGGGAGUAC